CCUGCAGUCGACGGUAGGCCUUUCGGGGUACACGAGUGGCGAACGGGUGAGUAACACGUGGGUGAUCUGCCCUGCACUUCGGGAUAAGCCUGGGAAACUGGGUCUAAUACCGGAUAUGACUACGAAUCGCAUGGUUUGUGGUGGAAAGCUUUUGCGGUGUGGGAUGGGCCCGCGGCCUAUCAGCUUGUUGGUGGGGUGAUGGCCUACCAAGGCGACGACGGGUAGCCGGCCUGAGAGGGUGUCCGGCCACACUGGGACUGAGAUACGGCCCAGACUCCUACGGGAGGCAGCAGUGGGGAAUAUUGCACAAUGGGCGCAAGCCUGAUGCAGCGACGCCGCGUGAGGGAUGACGGCCUUCGGGUUGUAAACCUCUUUCAGUAUCGACGAAGCGCAAGUGACGGUAGGUACAGAAGAAGGACCGGCCAACUACGUGCCAGCAGCCGCGGUAAUACGUAGGGUCCGAGCGUUGUCCGGAAUUACUGGGCGUAAAGAGCUCGUAGGUGGUUUGUCGCGUUGUUCGUGAAAACUCACAGCUCAACUGUGGGCGUGCGGGCGAUACGGGCAGACUGGAGUACUGCAGGGGAGACUGGAAUUCCUGGUGUAGCGGUGGAAUGCGCAGAUAUCAGGAGGAACACCGGUGGCGAAGGCGGGUCUCUGGGCAGUAACUGACGCUGAGGAGCGAAAGCGUGGGGAGCGAACAGGAUUAGAUACCCUGGUAGUCCACGCCGUANACGGUGGGUACUAGGUGUGGGUUUCCUUCCUUGGGAUCCGUGCCGUAGCUAACGCAUUAAGUACCCCGCCUGGGGAGUACGGCCG
rnacentral:rRNA from 1 species